GAAGAAGCCAUGCAUUUUGAAAUACAAGUGAAAUGAUAUACCCUUUAGACAUUGGUCUUCCCAUGAAGUGCACAUGUGAGAGACAAAGACAAAAGGAUGAGUUGGAGAUCUUACUCUCAUAAAGUUCGGACAGGCCGUGGGGAAGAGAAGAGGUACACGUGGAAUGUCAGUGAACACCUGAAACAAUCCCCAAACAGGAUUUUUGUGUGUCACCAAUUUUCACCAACAUCUCUUUCCUGAGAUAUGAAAUGGGGUGUAGAUGGAAAAGCACCAGCAUCAAAAUCUGCAUCAUGAGUGUCAGUGGUGUAUAAGGGAAUUCCUGAGAGAGCAAUGCGAUGCUCCUUUGAGACAUGCUGUAUCUGCUAAGCUGUUGAUGGCAUGAAAGAGAAUAUUAUGCAAGGAAAUGUGAACAAUGAUGACUGUGUCAAAUGCUGAAUCAGAAGAGGCAACGCCAGAAUG
rnacentral:lncRNA from 12 species